rnacentral:rRNA from 1 species
AGAGUUUGAUCCUGGCUCAGAUUGAACGCUGGCGGCAGGCCUAACACAUGCAAGUCGAACGGUAGCACAGAGAGCUUGCUCUCGGGUGACGAGUGGCGGACGGGUGAGUAAUGUCUGGGAAACUGCCUGAUGGAGGGGGAUAACUACUGGAAACGGUAGCUAAUACCGCAUAACGUCGCAAGACCAAAGAGGGGGACCUUCGGGCCUCUUGCCAUCAGAUGUGCCCAGAUGGGAUUAGCUAGUAGGUGGGGUAACGGCUCACCUAGGCGACGAUCCCUAGCUGGUCUGAGAGGAUGACCAGCCACACUGGAACUGAGACACGGUCCAGACUCCUACGGGAGGCAGCAGUGGGGAAUAUUGCACAAUGGGCGCAAGCCUGAUGCAGCCAUGCCGCGUGUAUGAAGAAGGCCUUCGGGUUGUAAAGUACUUUCAGCGGGGAGGAAGGUGUUGUGGUUAAUAACCACAGCAAUUGACGUUACCCGCAGAAGAAGCACCGGCUAACUCCGUGCCAGCAGCCGCGGUAAUACGGAGGGUGCAAGCGUUAAUCGGAAUUACUGGGCGUAAAGCGCACGCAGGCGGUCUGUCAAGUCGGAUGUGAAAUCCCCGGGCUCAACCUGGGAACUGCAUUCGAAACUGGCAGGCUAGAGUCUUGUAGAGGGGGGUAGAAUUCCAGGUGUAGCGGUGAAAUGCGUAGA